rnacentral:rRNA from 1 species
CCUACGGGAGGCAGCAGUGAGGAAUAUUGGUCAAUGGACGAGAGUCUGAACCAGCCAAGUAGCGUGAAGGAUGACUGCCCUAUGGGUUGUAAACUUCUUUUAUAUGGGAAUAAAAUGUUCCACGUGUGGGAUUUUGUAUGUACCAUAUGAAUAAGGAUCGGCUAACUCCGUGCCAGCAGCCGCGGUAAUACGGAGGAUCCGAGCGUUAUCCGGAUUUAUUGGGUUUAAAGGGUGCGUAGGUGGAUUGUUAAGUCAGUGGUGAAAGGUUGGGGCUCAACCGGAAAAUUGCAGUUGAAACUGGCAGUCUUGAGUAGAGUAGAGGUGGGCGGAAUUCGUGGUGUAGCGGUGAAAUGCUUAGAUAUCACGAAGAACUCCGAUUGCGAAGGCAGCUCACUGGACUGCAACUGACACUGAGGCUCGAAAGUGUGGGUAUCAAACAGGAUUAGAUACCCUAGUAGUC